rnacentral:rRNA from 1 species
AUUGAACGCUGGCGGCAUGCUUUACACAUGCAAGUCGAACGGCAGCGCGGGCUUCGGCCUGGCGGCGAGUGGCGAACGGGUGAGUAAUACAUCGGAACGUGCCCAGUCGUGGGGGAUAGCUCGGCGAAAGCCGGAUUAAUACCGCAUACGACCUGAGGGUGAAAGCGGGGGAUCUUCGGAUCUCGCGCUAUUGGAGCGGCCGAUGGCAGAUUAGCUAGUUGGUGGGGUAAAGGCCUACCAAGGCGACGAUCUGUAGCUGGUCUGAGAGGACGGACAGCCACACUGGGACUGAGACACGGCCCCGACUCCUACGGGAGGCAGCGGUGGGGAAUUUUGGACGAUGGGCGAAAGCCUGAUCCAGCAAUGCCGCGUGUGUGAUGAAGGCCUUCGGGUUGUAAAGCACUUUUGGCGGGAACGAAAAGGACUGUGCCAAUACCACGGUUCGAUGACGGUACCCGCAGAAUAAGCACCGGCUAACUACGUG